GACGAACGCUGGCGGCGUGCUUAACACAUGCAAGUCGAACGGAAAGGCCCUGCUUUUGUGGGGUGCUCGAGUGGCGAACGGGUGAGUAACACGUGAGUAACCUGCCCUUGACUUUGGGAUAACUUCAGGAAACUGGGGCUAAUACCGGAUAGGAGCUCCUGCUGCAUGGUGGGGGUUGGAAAGUUUCGGCGGUUGGGGAUGGACUCGCGGCUUAUCAGCUUGUUGGUGGGGUAGUGGCUUACCAAGGCUUUGACGGGUAGCCGGCCUGAGAGGGUGACCGGCCACAUGGAGACUGAGAUACGGCCCAGACUCCUACGGGAGGCAGCAGUGGGGAAUAGUGCACAAUGGGCGGAAGCCUGAUGCAGCAACGCCGCGUGCGGGAUGACGGCCUUCGGGUUGUAAACCGCUUUCGCCUGUGACGAAGCGUGAGUGACGGUAAUGGGUAAAGAAGCACCGGCUAACUACGUG
rnacentral:rRNA from 1 species